rnacentral:rRNA from 1 species
GGAAUAUUGGACAAUGGGCGAAAGCCUGAUCCAGCAAUGCCGCGUGUGUGAAGAAGGCCUGCGGGUUGUAAAGCACUUUCAGUAGAGAAGAAAAGCCUCGGGUUAAUACCCCGGAGUCUUGACGUAACCUACAGAAGAAGCACCGGCUAACUCCGUGCCAGCAGCCGCGGUAAUACGGAGGGUUCAAGCGUUAAUCGGAAUUACGGGGCGUAAAGCGCGCGUAGGCGGUUUUGUAAGGCGGAUGUGAAAGCCCUGGGCUUAACCUGGGAAUUGCAUUCGAUACUGCUUAACUAGAGUAUGGUAGAGGGAAGUGGAAUUUCCGGUGUAGCGGUGAAAUGCGUAGAUAUCGGAAGGAACACCAGUGGCGAAGGCGACUUCCUGGGCCAAUACUGACGCUGAGGUGCGAAAGCGUGGGGAGCAAA